GGCGGGGCCGGGCGGCGGCGGGGCGUGCGGGACCGGCGGCUGCGGGCGUGCUGUGACCGCGACGCGCAGCACACCCCGCACCGCCACACCACAGGCUCUGUCCCGGUGGUGCCAAACACGGGAGAACACAUCCCCCGCCACAGAUAAAAGGGGGCUGUAGCGAGAGUAAGAUAAGCAAGUGUUGGUGAGGAACAGCCCCCCUGUGCGUCGUUGGCAUACAAAGGACGGAAGGAAAGGCCGCCUUAGUGCAAGCCUUGCACAAACAAGAUAAGCCUGCGUGCUGAAAGGACUACUGAGCACCCUGGCUCUGCUGACUGAGUGACAGAAGCAGAAAUAAUUGCAGACAUUACAAAGCUGGGAGCUGUGACCAUAUAUGGACAAACUAAGGCUUCCUUCACACGUCGUCUGAGUGGCAUAGCCCAGAGAAUAUUGAAAGGCUGCUAAUAAGAUAGAUGACAUCUGUUUAGGUCACAUAUUAGGUGGGAUUAGCGCUUCUAAAGACUUACAAGCUACAGCUUAGUACUCUACUGUCCGAACACAUUGGCCCUUGUGCACGUGAUGGCUGUCAGCUCAAGACCCAGCCCUGCUACAGCUCGAGAAAGAUGGAAGCUGGACAUCCAAGUGACCAUGGCAAAGGAUGUGCACCGUUCCCUUCCCUGAUGCAGACCAGCAGUAGAAGUCACAAGUGACUGCGGGCUUAGUCUUGCGAAGGAGGAAGGAAUGACCCCAGAGUGCUGGGUUUGACUGGGGCAUGCAGCACUGGGGGGCAGGAACAGUCCAGGGGUCUAGGCAAAGGCUCAUGGGCAUUGGGUUCUCCUGACAUGCAGAGGGUCAGCAGGAUCUUGUCACCUGCAUAAAUAACAUGGCUUUGCAAAGAAGUGCAACAGGCACGUUGUGUUCUUCCUUUCAGACCCAUAGCUCUGAGUGGAGAAAGAAAACUUAGAAACCAAAACUCUUUGAGUCCUGAAGUCCCCUGAAAGGGAAAGACACAAGUGACUGAUGCAGCAAGUCCCACCAAGUUAUUUAACUGGUACUGUGGGAGUUGAUUACAAUUAUUUGUUUCCAACUCAUAAACCCACGUGCUACCUCUUUCUCUCUUGCCAAUUAACAGUAUUACUUUGCACUAAUAGAGUGCUUUCAUUUUCAAGAGGCUUAAGAAGACAAAUUAAUCACCUCAACAUGUCUGAAAGGAACAGAUGGUAAUGAAGUAUUAACGUUGCAGUUUCACAGCUGGGAAAGCUCCUGUGAGAGAGGGCUAGACCAGUGUUUGGAGGGCACCCAUCCCUGUUCCCUGGUUGGAGCCAGAGUUCAGGGGUCUCAUCUCCACUCUGAGAUAGUGCUUUAUCUUAGCCUCACCACAUGUUACUUUUCCUAAGCAAAGCUACAUGGGCAUUUUGUUCUCUCUUUAACAGGAAGUACCAUUCCCUGUGCUGAGAAGGCCUCAGCACAUCUCCAGACAGGUUGUUGGAUUUAAGACUACAUGUCUAUCCAAUAAUGCAAUUAGUUCAGCUUGCUGUUAUUUCUUGCUAACUAGGAGCAGUGAUCAGGAAGAAACACAUUCCCCUGUCUGUGCAGUGGAGAUGCUUUUUUUUUCCCCCUGAAACAUUUUGGGUUAUAGUUGGGUUCAGAACAGCUGUUUGCGUUUUCCUCCCCACUCACUCCAGUCUCAGAGGACCAUGGGCACAGAGCACUGUUGCUCUGUAGAGCUUUUUGGUUCAGCUGUACAACACAGUUUCUUAAGCCACAUCUGG